UACGUAGGGUGCAAGCGUUAAUCGGAAUUACUGGGCGUAAAGCGUGCGCAGGCGGUUUUGUAAGCCAGAUGUGAAAGCCCCGGGCUUAACCUGGGAAUGGCAUUUGGGACUGCAAGGCUCGAGUGCGGCAGAGGAGACUGGAAUUCCUGGUGUAGCAGUGAAAUGCGUAGAUAUCAGGAGGAACACCGAUGGCGAAGGCAGGUCUCUGGGCUGACACUGACGCUCAUGCACGAAAGCGUGGGGAGCAAACAGG
rnacentral:rRNA from 1 species